rnacentral:rRNA from 1 species
GACGAACGCUGGCGGCGUGCUUAACACAUGCAAGUCGAACGGAAAGGCCCUGCUUUUGUGGGGUGCUCGAGUGGCGAACGGGUGAGUAACACGUGAGUAACCUGCCCUUGACUUUGGGAUAACUUCAGGAAACUGGGGCUAAUACCGGAUAGGAGCUCCUGCUGCAUGGUGGGGGUUGGAAAGUUUCGGCGGUUGGGGAUGGACUCGCGGCUUAUCAGCUUGUUGGUGGGGUAGUGGCUUACCAAGGCUUUGACGGGUAGCCGGCCUGAGAGGGUGACCGGCCACAUUGCGACUGAGAUACGGCCCAGACUCCUACGGGAGGCAGCAGUGGGGAAUAUUGCACAAUGGGCGGAAGCCUGAUGCAGCAACGCCGCGUGCGGGAUGACGGCCUUCGGGUUGUAAACCGCUUUCGCCUGUGACGAGGCGUGAGUGACGGUAAUGGGUCAAGAAGCACCGGCUAACUACGUG